rnacentral:pre_miRNA from 2 species
CAAAGGUGCAUUGUAGUCGCAUUGUCUGUGCUGUUUUCGUUGCUGUUGGUAUUCAGCCAGUACUUCUGCAAUGCAAACUUUG